rnacentral:rRNA from 1 species
GUCCACGCUGUAAACGAUGAGAGCUAGUUGUCGGCACGCAUGCGUGUCGGUGACGCAGCUAACGCAUUAAGCUCUCCGCCUGGGGAGUACGGCCGCAAGGUUAAAACUCAAAGAAAUUGACGGGGGCCCGCACAAGCGGUGGAGCAUGUGGUUUAAUUCGAAGCAACGCGAAGAACCUUACCCACGUUUGACAUGUCUAGUUUGGUCGUCAGAGAUGACUUCCUUCAGUUCGGCUGGCUAGAACACAGGUGCUGCAUGGCUGUCGU